rnacentral:rRNA from 1 species
CUACGGGAGGCAGCAGUGGGGAAUUUUGGACAAUGGGCGCAAGCCUGAUCCAGCCAUUCCGCGUGCGGGAAGAAGGCCUUCGGGUUGUAAACCGCUUUCGGCAGGGAAGAAACGGUGGGGGCUAAUACCUCCUGCUAAUGACGGUACCUGAAGAAGAAGCACCGGCUAACUACGUGCCAGCAGCCGCGGUAAUACGUAGGGUGCGAGCGUUAAUCGGAAUUACUGGGCGUAAAGCGUGCGCAGGCGGUUUUGUAAGACAGAUGUGAAAUCCCCGGGCUUAACCUGGGAACUGCGUUUGUGACUGCAAGACUUGAGUGCGGCAGAGGGGGGUGGAAUUCCACGUGUAGCAGUGAAAUGCGUAGAGAUGUGGAGGAACACCGAUGGCGAAGGCAGCCCCCUGGGUCGACACUGACGCUCAUGCACGAAAGCGUGGGGAGCAAACAGGAUUAGAUACCCCGGU